CAAGGAGGAAGGAGCUCUUGGUCAUGGAAGAGAGGAGAAGCCGGAUGCAGAAGUGAUGUCUGACACUGCUGUGAGAUGAAGAACCCCUGAAGUGGGGUCGGAAGGGACCUUUGUAGAUCUUCAAGUCCGACCCCCUGCCUGGGCAGGAGGAAAACUGGGCUCAAAUGACCCCAGCCAGAUUUCAAGCUCUUUAAAAAGAAGAUCAGUACCAUUAUCCUCCUUGCAGAUGAAGACACUGUGGAAGAGAAAGGAAGUAUGUUACUCCUAGGCCUCUUCACUAGGCCACGCUAGUCUGUGCUUGUAAAAUCUCUCCUUGAUGGACGUGGGCCUCGUCAUACAUUGGAGCAUUUAAUUUUUUUCCUCCAAUUAAGAGAUCCCUAUUCUAUCCCGAGUUUUCUCCCCUCUGUGGAAACAUGGUGUAGGUCAAACAUGUGUCUAGGCUUUGAAGUCAAUGGAAUUACAGUAGUACAGAGCAGGUGCUUUGUGCAGGGGUGCUGGACCUCCAGCUGGGUGCCAUACUAGUCCCACCCCUCCUCAUUGGGGACCUAACCUACCUGCUCCUGUCCUGGCUCAUGCCACCCUACACUGGACAGCUGGAACCCUGCCAGGCCUACUUCAACCAGUGCCUGGGCCAGACCCAAGCACUGGUGGAGCGCACCUUUGGCUGCUUCAAGGGAUGCUGGCACAUAUUCACCACCUGCCUGGAGUUCACCAAGGAGAACAUCCCCUGGGUCACUGUUGCAGUCCACAUAACAUCUGUGAGGCCUACUCCCCACUGUAGUCCACCCAGACAGCUGCCCAUGGACACUUACUGUGGACAGUUCUCAGAAAAACACUUUAUUACCCUCAUAACAAACAGACCCCUCACCUUCUCCCUCCUCAACACCACAGCCUGUUCCCCCUCCUUCCCAAACAACAAAACAUCUCCACCACCUUCCAUCCACCAACAAUAAAACAGCCUCUUCCCCCGUGCAAGCUA